rnacentral:rRNA from 1 species
CCUACGGGUGGCAGCAGUGGGGAAUUUUGGACAAUGGGGGCAACCCUGAUCCAGCAAUGCCGCGUGUGCGAAGAAGGCCUUCGGGUUGUAAAGCACUUUUGUCGGGGAAGAAAUCUUCUGGGUGAAUAUCCCAGGAGGAUGACGGUACCCGAAGAAUAAGCACCGGCUAACUACGUGCCAGCAGCCGCGGUAAUACGUAGGGUGCAAGCGUUAAUCGGAAUUACUGGGCGUAAAGCGUGCGCAGGUGGUCUGCUAAGACAGUCGUGAAAUCCCCGGGCUUAACCUGGGAACUGCGAUUGUGACUGGCAGGCUAGAGUUCGGCAGAGGGGGGUGGAAUUCCUGGUGUAGCAGUGAAAUGCGUAGAGAUCAGGAGGAACACCGAUGGCGAAGGCAGCCCCCUGGGCUAGAACUGACACUCAUGCACGAAAGCGUGGGGAGCAAACAGGAUUAGAUACCCUUGUAGUC